rnacentral:tRNA from 1 species
CCCCUGGUGGUCUAGUGGUUAAGACUCCAUACUUCCAAUGCAUGGGGUAUAGGUUCGAUCCCUGGCAGGGGGA